CGGACACGCUGGCGGCGUGCUUAACACAUGCAAGUCGAACGGUGACGAGGAGCUUGCUCCUCUGAUCAGUGGCGAACGGGUGAGUAACACGUGAGCAACCUGCCCCAGACUCUGGGAUAACAGUUGGAAACAGCUGCUAAUACCGGAUACGAGACGGAGAGGCAUCUCUACCGUCUGGAAAGUUUUUCGGUCUGGGAUGGACUCGCGGCCUAUCAGCUAGUUGGUGAGGUAAUGGCUCACCAAGGCGACGACGGGUAGCCGGCCUGAGAGGGCGACCGGCCACACUGGGACUGAGACACGGCCCAGACUCCUACGGGAGGCAGCAGUGGGGAAUAUUGCACAAUGGGCGAAAGCCUGAUGCAGCGACGCCGCGUGAGGGAUGACGGCCUUCGGGUUGUAAACCUCUUUCAGCAGGGAAGAAGCGAAAGUGACGGUACCUGCAGAAGAAGCACCGGCUAACUACGUG
rnacentral:rRNA from 1 species